GACGAACGCUGGCGGCGUGCUUAACACAUGCAGGUCGAACGGUAAGGCCCUUCGGGGGUACACGAGUGGCGAACGGGUGAGUAACACGUGGGUGAUCUGCCCUGCACUUCGGGAUAAGCCUGGGAAACUGGGUCUAAUACCGGAUAGGACCACUGCCUGCAUGGGUGGUGGUGGAAAGCUUUUGCGGUGUGGGAUGGGCCCGCGGCCUAUCAGCUUGUUGGUGGGGUGAUGGCCUACCAAGGCGACGACGGGUAGCCGGCCUGAGAGGGUGACCGGCCACACUGGGACUGAGAUACGGCCCAGACUCCUACGGGAGGCAGCAGUGGGGAAUAUUGCACAAUGGGCGCAAGCCUGAUGCAGCGACGCCGCAUGAGGGAUGACGGCCUUCGGGUUGUAAACCUCUUUCGGCACCGACGAAGCGCAAGUGACGGUAGGUGCAGAAGAAGGACCGGCCAACUACGUGCCAGCCGCCGCGGUAA
rnacentral:rRNA from 1 species